CGGCCGCGUCGACCAGGUAGGCGAGAAGAGAAUUCUAAGGUGAGCGAGUGAACUCUCGUUAAGGAACUCGGCAAAAUGACCCCGUAACUUCGGGAGAAGGGGUGCUCUGGUAGGGUGUUACAGCCCGAGAGAGCCGCAGUGAAUAGGCCCAGGCGACUGUUUAGCAAAAACACAGGUCUCUGCAAAACCGUAAGGUGAAGUAUAGGGGCUGACGCCUGCCCGGUGCUGGAAGGUUAAGGUAGUGCUUAGCGCAAGCGAAGGUGCGAACCGAAGCCCCAGUAAACGGCGGCCGUAACAAUAACGGUCCUAAGGUAGCGAAAUUCCUUGUCGGGUAAGUUCCGACCCGCACGAAAGGCGUAACGAUCUGGGCACUGUCUCAACGAGAGACUCGGUGAAAUUAUAGUACCUGUGAAGAUGCAGGUUACCCGCGACAGGACGGAAAGACCCCGUGGAGCUUUACUGUAGCCUGAUAUUGAAUUUUGGUGCAACUUGUACAGGAUAGGUAGGAGCCAAUGAAACCGGAGCGCCAGCUUCGGUGGAGGCGUCGGUGGGAUACUACCCUGGUUGUAUUGAACUUUACCCG
rnacentral:rRNA from 1 species